GUCUCCGUAGCUCAGUUGGAUAGAGCGUCCGCCUCCUAAGCGGAAGGUCAACGGUUCAAAUCCGUUCGGGGACGCCA
rnacentral:tRNA from 1 species